rnacentral:rRNA from 1 species
AGCAUAUCAAUAAGCGGAGGAAAAGAAACCAACAGGGAUUGCCCUAGUAACGGCGAGUGAAGCGGCAACAGCUCAAAUUUGAAAUCUGGCGUCUCCGGCGUCCGAGUUGUAAUUUGUAGAGGAUGCUUCUGGGCAGCCACCGGUCUAAGUUCCUUGGAACAGGACGUCAUAGAGGGUGAGAAUCCCGUAUGCGACCGGACAGGCACCCUCCACGUAGCUCCUUCGACGAGUCGAGUUGUUUGGGAAUGCAGCUCUAAAUGGGAGGUAAAUUUCUUCUAAAGCUAAAUACCGGCCAGAGACCGAUAGCGCACAAGUAGAGUGAUCGAAAGAUGAAAAGCACUUUGGAAAGAGAGUUAAAAAGCACGUGAAAUUGUUGAAAGGGAAGCGCUUGCAACCAGACUUGCUCGCGGUGUUCCGCCGGUCUUCUGACCGGUCUACUCGCCGCGUUGCAGGCCAGCAUCGUCUGGGGCCGCCGGAUAAGACUUUGGGAAUGUAGCUCCUUCGGGAGUGUUAUAGCCCAUCGUGAUGCGGCGCGUCCCGGGCGAGGUCCGCGCUUCGGCUAGGAUGCUGGCGUAAUGGUUGUAAGCGGCCCGUCUUGAAACACGGACCAAGGAGUCUAACAUCUAUGCGAGUGUUCGGGUGUCAAACCCCUACGCGUAAUGAAAGUGAACGGAGGUGGGAACUUUUUGUGCACCAUCGACCGAUCCUGAUGUCUUCGGAUGGAUUUGAGUAAGAGCAUAGCUGUUGGGACCCGAAAGAUGGUGAACUAUGCCUGAAUAGGGUGAAGCCAGAGGAAACUCUGGUGGAGGCUCGCAGCGGUUCUGACGUGCAAAUCGAUCGUCAAAUUUGGGUAUAGGGGCGAAAGACUAAUCGAACCAUCUAGUAGCUGGUUCUGCGA